rnacentral:tRNA from 1 species
GGUUAGGUAGCCUAGUGGUUAAGGCAGCCCAUGCGUGUUGGGUCCGGAUCCAUUAAAUCUGGUCGGUGGUUCAACUCCAGCCCCGACCA